rnacentral:rRNA from 1 species
UCCAGACUCCUACGGGAGGCAGCAGUGGGGGAUAUUGCACAAUGGGGGGAACCCUGAUGCAGCGACGCCGCGUGGGUGAAGGAGCGUUUCGGCGCGUAAAGCUCUAUCGGCAGGGAAGAAGGAGGACGGUACCUGACUAAGAAGCCCCGGCUAACUACGUGCCAGCAGCCGCGGUAAUACGUAGGGGGCAAGCGUUAUCCGGAUUUACUGGGUGUAAAGGGGGCGCGGACGGCAGCGCAAGCCAGGAGUGAAAGCCCGGGGCCCAACCCCGGGACUGCUCUUGGAACUGCGCGGCUGGAGUGCAGGAGGGGCAGGCGGAAUUCCUGGUGUAGCGGUGAAAUGCGUAGAUAUCAGGAGGAACACCGGUGGCGAAGGCGGCCUGCUGGACUGCGACUGACGUUGAGGCCCGAAAGCGUGGGGAGCAAACAGGAUUAGAUACCCGAGUAC